CCACUGCGGUCGUCUUUUCCGGCACACCCGCCGCCACGACUUUCUUUCCAUUCCACCUACUCGCGCUCCCUCCCACUCCUCCCCACCCGAGGCCAAAUCCGCACUCGUCCGGUAUAUUACCGAACCGCCGCCGUUUAUCAAGCCGUACAAAUUUCCAUCGGUGAAAUCCGGCACGCGUUUAUAGACGGGAAAUCGGAGGAACG